rnacentral:misc_RNA from 1 species
CCACAAGGCCUGGGGCAAGGCGUUUUAGCUUGAGUCUGUUAUUGGAAGAAGACAGUGAUGAUGGUGAUGUAAGGGAGGUAGGGCCAACAAUGCGAAUAGAUAGGAGUGGAGCUCCUUGGGUAUGAGAAGCACGACGAAGGUGUUCAGCGAGGGCCAGAAGACCAGAGGCAAAACCAUUUUGACUCCGGUUGAGGGGCAACGGGAGAUCAACUGGGUGGCGUAGGCUAAC